rnacentral:rRNA from 1 species
UAAAACGUAGGAGACGAACGUUAUCCGGAGUUACUGGGCGUAAAGGGCGUGUAGGCGGUAUGUUAAGUCUGGCGUGAAAGCUCUCGGCUAAACCGGGAGAGGUCGUUGGAUACUGGCACACUAGAGGAUGGUAGAGGCGUGUGGAAUUCCGGGUGUAGUGGUGAAAUGCGUAGAGAUCCGGAGGAACACCAGUGGCGAAGGCGACACGCUGGGCCAUACCUGACGCUAAAGCGCGACAGCAUGGGGAGCAAACGGGAUUAGAAACCCCGGUAGUCCAUGCCGUAAACGAUGCCAGCUAGAUGUUCAGAGGGCGCAAGCCGUCGGGGUAUCGAAGCAAACGCGAUAAGCUGGCCGCCUGGGGAGUACGGUCGCAAGGCUA